rnacentral:rRNA from 1 species
AUACGGGGGGUGCAAGCGUUGUUCGGAUUUACUGGGCGUAAAGCGCGUGCAGGCGGGUCGGCAAGUCCUGUGUGUAAUCCCCCGGCUUAACCGGGAAACUGCAUGGGAAACUAUCGAUCUUGAGUGCGAGAGAGGAUGGCGGAAUUCCUGGUGUAGCGGUGAAAUGCGUAGAUAUCAGGAGGAACACCGGUGGCGAAGGCGGCCAUCUGGAUCGACACUGACGCUGAGACGCGAAGGCCGGGGGAGCAAACAGGAUUAGAAACCCGGGUAGUCC